AGCGCGGGCGACGCGUGAUGGGCCCCACUCCGCGCUUCAGCCGGAGUCUCUCCUGCAAAAGAAUCCUGUGCAUCUUUUUCCUGCCACUUAUCUUAGCAAGUUUUGCUCCCCGAGUGAAAGAUAAAGAGGGUCUUAUAUAUGCAAAUGCACAGCUACACCCAGCCGGCACGUUUAAUUGGUCUCACCUGACCCCCCUCACGCUGAAGGACCGAUCUGUGGGACUUGAGACUGUAAGCAGAGUCAGAAGUAAGCCAUACUUCACCCUGGGGGGUCACAAGUUCCUGAUUUUUGGGGGCUCCAUCCACUAUUUCCGGGUGCCCAGGGAGUAUUGGAGGGACCGCUUGCUGAAGCUGAAGGCCUGUGGCUUCAACACCCUUACCACCUAUGUACCAUGGAACCUCCAUGAGCCAGAAAGAGGCAAAUUUGACUUCUCUGGAAACCUGGACCUGGAGGCCUUUGUGAUGUUGGCUGCGGAGACCGGAUUGUGGGUAAUUCUGCGUCCAGGACCCUAUAUCUGCAGCGAGAUUGACCUCGGGGGCUUGCCCAGCUGGCUGCUGCAAGAUCCCAAGAUGAUAUUGAGAACAACCUACAAGGGCUUUGUGGGAGCAGUUGAUAAGUAUUUUGACCACCUGAUUUCCAGAGUUGUUCCUCUCCAGUACCAUAAGGGAGGCCCCAUCAUUGCAGUGCAGGUGGAGAAUGAAUAUGGUUCAUUUGCCAAGGAUAAAGAUUACAUGCUUUAUGUUCGAAAGGCCCUGCUGAAAAGAGGGAUUGUAGAACUGCUCAUGACCUCGGAUGAUGCAGAAAAUCUGCUAAAAGGCCGCAUAAAAGGAGUUCUGGCCACCAUCAACAUGAACAAAUUUGAGAAGAGUGCUUUUGAGCAGCUUUCCCACCUGCAGAGCAAUAAGCCCAUUAUGAUCAUGGAAUUCUGGGUUGGCUGGUUUGACACAUGGGGAAGUGAACAUUCAGUUGCUAAUGCUGAGGAUGUUAAGGAAACUGUGUCCAAAUUUAUCACAUCUGAGAUCUCCUUCAAUGUAUAUAUGUUCCAUGGUGGAACCAACUUUGGUUUCAUGAAUGGGGCCACAUAUUUUGGGAUACACAAAGCUGUUGUCACUAGCUAUGACUAUGAUGCUGUCCUGACAGAGGCCGGGGAUUACACAGAAAAAUAUUUCAAGCUUCAAGGACUCCUUAGCUCUGUCUUAGCAAUGCCUCUGCCACCUUUGCCCAAGCUCACUUCCAAGGCUGAGUAUCCUUCUGUGAAACCAUCCCUUUACUUGCCACUGUGGGAUGUUCUACAGUACUUACAUGAGCCAGUUAUAUCUCAUACACCAGUCAACAUGGAGAACCUCCCUAUAAACAGUGGGAAUGGCCAGUCCUAUGGAUUCGUGCUUUAUGAAACUUCCAUUUGCUCUGGAGGUUCUCUCCAUGCUAGUGUUCAUGAUACAGCACAGGUGUUUUUGAAUGAGAUAAGUAUAGGACUUCUGGAUGAUCAUACUAAGACGUUGAUUAUUCCUAAAAUCAGGGAAUGUCAACUUCUAAGGAUCCUGGUAGAAAAUCGAGGACGAGUCAAUUUUUCGUGGAAAAUUCAAGAUCAGCGGAAAGGACUAACUGAAUCAGUUACUAUCAAUAAGGUUCCCCUGAAUGGUUUUGCUAUCUAUUCUCUGGAAAUGACAAUGAGCUUCUUUGAAAGACUCCGCUCUGCCACCUGGAAGCGUGUCCCAAAGAACUAUUUGGGCCCUGCCUUCUACCUUGGUACCUUGAAGGUUGACUCUUCACCCAAGGACACCUUCCUUAGUCUACUGGUAGACCUGGAAUUCUGGAUUUGCAUUCAUCAAUGGACGUAACCUUGGGCGAUAUUCAAUUAUUGGACCUCAGAAAACACUUUACCUUCCUGGUGUUUGGCUUCAUCCAGAAGACAAUGAGAUCAUCCUGUUUGAGAAAAGGAAGAGUGGGUCAUACAUCCGAACUACAAAUGAACCCAUCCUGUAAGACUGUUAUAAUACAUUUCUA